rnacentral:lncRNA from 10 species
CUCGUUUGUCGGCUGCUUGGGAAGGUUUCAACAAUAUUUUCAUCAUAUUUAUUGAAGGCCUCACUGACAGACUUCUCAAGGCCCCUCUACCUUCUAUUCGCUGCCUGGCCCCAAAGCCAGUGCCACACAUUUUAGGUUUUUAACUGCAGCAGCACCUAUGAUGUUUCCAAAAUCUGUAUCAUUAAAGUUUGAUCAGAGAAGCAAAACCACCUUGAGCAAAACAAGGAAUUUAUUAAAGAGAUUAGGAUACACAUUGUUAUGAAAGCUGCAACCUGCUGCCCCUGUGUCCAGAAGUGGGCCUGAAGUCAGCAGGGCUGGCAAAUGGAUGUGCAGUGGGAGAGAGUAGGCGUGAGCUGCACCUGCAGGGAGGAGAUGGAACUCCUGUGGAUGGACUGAAACUGAUGUCUUCCACGUCAGCCUCUCAGGCCUCCAACACUCCAGCGCUGAUGAUGAAGAUGACCUGCAGAGGAGCUGGUGCCCUUCACCAUGGAAUUGCUCAUAAACCCAAGAUUCAGUGAAGCUGAAGAAGCAGUUCUGGUGGGAGCUGGAGGAACUGCAGGCACAGCUGCUGCCCUGUACCAAUACAUUGAGCCAGUGGCUGCCUGGCAUUGUGUGUGAGCCACCACAGCGCCUGGCCCUACACAGACUUUGACUGUAAAUAUGACUGCUGUUUCACUUCUGCCUUCCAAAUUUUGCUCAGAUUUUCUGAGAAACAUAGUUCAGCUUAGGUACAUUGACACAGUACAAAGCCACCGCAGUGGCUGGUUAGGGAGGGAUUAUGAAUGCAGGCUGAGAAUGCACGGGAAGCGUUUGUCUAUUUAUAGAGUAGGUACCAUUCAAGGAUUUAUGUGAAUCAGGUGCAAAGAACUCACACAAAGAUGGGGAAAGUUAGUACUUAGAAAUCAGUGAUACUAGAUAACCAAUAAAUAAAAAUAAACUUAUUUUUAGAAAAUAAGAAAAUAGAAAAGCUUUAAUAAAAUAGUAUUGGGCCGGGUGCAGUGGCUCACGCCUGUAAUCCUAGCACUUUGGGAGACUGAGGUGGGCGGAUCACCUGAGGUCAGGAGUUCCAGACCAGCCUGGCCAACAUGGUGAAACCCAAUCUCUACUAGAAAAAACCACAAAAAUUAGCUGGGCGUGGUGGUACGUGCCUGUAAUCCUAGCUCCUCGGGAAGCUGAGGCAGGAGAAUCGCUUGAACUCAGGAGGUGGAGGGUGCAGUGAGCCAAGAUCGUGCCAUUGCACCCCAGCCUGGGUGACAGAACAAGAUUCUAUCUCAAAAAAAUAAAAAUAAAAAUAAAUAAAUAAAAUAGUAUUGAAAUGGUGAAUAAUACUAUUUCAGCACAUCCUAAACAGAUCAUGCAGAUAGUAAGAGGUUUUCUGCAUGAGUUUGCUAGGGCUGCCGUAACAAAACACCAUGGACGGGAGCUUUAACAACAGAAAUUGAUUUCUCACAGUUCUGCAGGCAGGGUGUUCAGGACCAAGAUAUUGGCAGGCUUGGUUUCUCUGAAUCCUCUCUCCUUGGCUUGCAGGUGGCUGUUUUCUUUUCUUUUUUCUUUUUUUUUCUUUGAGAUGGAGUCUCACUCUG